rnacentral:rRNA from 1 species
AUUGAACGCUGGCGGCAUGCCUUACACAUGCAAGUCGAACGGUAACAGGGAGCUUGCUCCGCUGACGAGUGGCGAACGGGUGAGUAAUGUAUCGGAACGUACCUUUUAGUGGGGGAUAACGUAGCGAAAGUUACGCUAAUACCGCAUAUUCUCUGAGGAGGAAAGCAGGGGACCUUCGGGCCUUGCGCUAAUAGAGCGGCUGAUAUCAGAUUAGCUAUGUGGGGAGGUAAAGGCUCACCAAGGCGACGAUCUGUAGCGGGUCUGAGAGGAUGAUCCGCCACACUGGAACUGAGACACGGGCCAGACUCCUACGGGAGGCAGCAGUGGGGAAUUUUGGACAAUGGGGGCAACCCUGAUCCAGCCACGCCGCGUGAGUGAAGAAGGCCUUCGGGUUGUAAAGCUCUUUCGGCCGGGAAAAAAUCGCAUGGGUUAAUACCCUGUGUGGAUGAUGGUACCGGAAUAAGAAGCACCGGCUAACUACGUGCCAGCCGCCGCAGUAA